rnacentral:rRNA from 1 species
UACGUAGGUGACGAGCGUUGUUCGGAUUUAUUGGGCGUAAAGGGUCCGCAGGUGGUUUAUUAAGUUUGACGUGAAAUCCCGGAGCUCAACUCCGGAACUGCGUUGAAAACUGAUGAACUAGAGUAUCGGAGAGGAGAUUGGAAUUCCAGGUGUAGCGGUGGAAUGCGUAGAUAUCUGGAAGAACACCGAAAGCGCAGGCAGAUCUCUGGACGAUGACUGACACUCAGGGACGAAAGCAUGGGUAGCAAAC